AUUAUAAUAUAUUCCAAAAAAACUACAUAGUGCAUAAUGCGAUUUUAAUUUUGUUGCGGUUUUUGUUACCGUUAUUCGAAAAAUGUAUUAAAAUUAUUCUCAUAUGAAACUACAAAAAAUACAGUUUAACAUAGACAAAUUCAUUGCCAGUGUUUUAAAAGAACAGUAUUUUUUCACAAUUAAAAGAAAGGCAAACAGGCCGCUUAUCAUCUGUCAAAGAAUUCACCUACACAUAGUGAAACAUACUAAUUAAUUAAUUUAAACGAAUUAUUGCUUUGAUUGGAGUGUUACAACAGCGGUGGCGAUAAAUGACAGCACAGACAAAACGAUUGGUGUUUAAAAUACAAAAGCAACAAAAUCUACAAAAAGAAAAUGUCAAAUUGAAAUCUUUCUGCUUCAUAAUAAUUACAUGAAUAGUUGUUGUGUUGUUGCAUACCCCAGUGGGCGAAUAAUAAGAAAACGGAGAACAAGAAACAGCUGUCUAGCAGUGUUGUAAAGGAACACAAAAAACGCACGUGAUAGAUGUAAUAUAUAUCGAAAUUUUUGUAUAUCCUUUAUGAAUACUGUCUGUUUACAAAAUUAUACAUACAAUGUUAAAAUAUUUAUAAUAUGAUUGUAAACAUUAAAAUAAUUAUUAUUACAGAAUAAAAAUUGUGACUAAUGCUAGCUGUUUAAA